GACGAACGCUGGCGGCGUGCCUAAUACAUGCAAGUAGAACGCAGUGGCGAACGGUUGAGUAACGCGUAGGAAACUGACGGGUAGCGGGGGAUAACUGUGGGAAACGAUAGCAAAUAAUGCAUACAACGAGAUGGACCUGCGUUGUAUUGGUUAGUUGGUGGGGUAACGGAUGACAAAGGCGACGGUACAUAGCCGACCGGAGAGGGUGAGCGGCCACACUGGGACUUGGACACGGCCCAGACUCCUACGGGAGGCAGCAGUAGGGAAUCUUCGGCAAUGGACGGAAGUCUGACCGAGCAACGCCGCGUGAGUGAAGAAGGUUUUCGGAUCGUAAAGCUCUGUUGUAAGAGAAGCGGUAUCUUACCAGAAAGGGACGGCUAACUACGUGCCAGCAGCCGCGGUAAUAC
rnacentral:rRNA from 1 species